AUCCGGCUGACGAGUCCCAAACAGGACGAGACGCGCGUCAAACUGGAU
rfam:Schistosoma rodhaini strain Burundi genome assembly, scaffold: SROB_scaffold0000990